rnacentral:rRNA from 1 species
AUUGAACGCUGGCGGCAGGCUUAACACAUGCAAGUCGAGCGGGGGAGGUUGCUUCGGUAACUGACCUAGCGGCGGACGGGUGAGUAAUGCUUAGGAAUCUGCCUAUUAGUGGGGGACAACAUUCCGAAAGGGAUGCUAAUACCGCAUACGCCCUACGCUGGAAAGCAGGUGAUCUUCGGACCUUGCGCUCAUAGAUGAGCCUAAUUCGGAUUAGCUAGUUGGUGGGGUAAAGGCCUACCAAGGCGACGAUCUGUAGCGGGUCUGAGAGGAUGAUCCGCCACACUGGGACUGAGACACGGCCCAGACUCCUACGGGAGGCAGCAGUGGGGAAUAUUGGACAAUGGGCGGAAGCCUGAUCCAGCCAUGCCGCGUGUGUGAAGAAGGCCUUUUGGUUGUAAAGCACUUUAAGCGAGGAGGAGGCUCUUAAGGUUAAUACCCUUGAUGAGUGGACGUUACUCGCAGAAUAAGCACCGGCUAACUCUGUGCCAGCAGCCGCCGCGGUAA